GUUUUCAGUGAAUUAUGCCUUUUCGGUUUGGGACUCAGCCAAGGAGCUUUCCGGUGGAAGGGGGAGAUUCUUCAGUGGGGCUGGAGCCUGGACUGAGCUCCAGUGCUGCCUGUAAUGGGAAAGAGAUGUUACCAACCAGGCAACUCCGAAGAUGCCCUGGAAGUCAUUGCCUGACAAUAACCGAUGUUCCCAUCACUGUCUAUGCAACAAUGCGAAAGCCACCUGCACAAAGCAGCAAGGAAAUGCAUCCCAAAUAGCACCAUUAAGUCUUUUGUAGAGGUCUGACUAGGUCAAGGGUAAUGGGCCAGUAUCAUCUUAUGAUCUGGUAAACAAAUAAAAGUGGUGGCACCUUUGGAUGAUGACAA